AAAAGAAGAAAAUAUGUUUCAAUCUGCCAUUUUAGUCCAUCAGUUCUCUAUCUGGAGACUAAAUUGGAAUGUAGCCAUAAAAGGGUUUUAAAAAAGCCUCUUCUGUUUAUGAGACAAGCAUGGGAAAGUCACCUGGCCAAGGCAGACAGAGCGGCCCAGGCACGUCCAAGCUUGAGUGACAAAAGCUCCCUCCCUUGUAAUAAAGUAAAGGGGUAAAAUGUUCUGCAAAACUGAACAACCUAUCAAAAAAGUGUGACAUUUGGCAAAGAAUGGAAUGGAAUGCUAUUAUGCUGUAAGAAACGAUGAACAGGAGGAGUUCAGAGAAAUCUGGAAGGACUUACAUGAAC